AGGAUGAACGCUAGCGGCAGGCUUAAUACAUGCAAGUCGUGGGGCAGCAGGUGUAGCAAUACAUGCUGGCGACCGGCAAACGGGUGCGGAACACGUACGCAACCUUCCUUUAACUGGAGAAUAGCCCCUCGAAAGAGGGAUUAAUACUCCGUAACAUAUUGAAGUGGCAUCACUUUAAUAUUAUAGCUCCGGCGGUUAAAGAUGGGCGUGCGCCUGAUUAGGUAGUUGGCGGGGUAACGGCCCACCAAGCCUGCGAUCAGUAACUGGUGUGAGAGCACGACCAGUCACACGGGCACUGAGACACGGGCCCGACUCCUACGGGAGGCAGCAGUAAGGAAUAUUGGUCAAUGGACGCAAGUCUGAUCCAGCCAUGCCGCGUGAGUGAUGAAGGCCCUAGGGUUGUAAAGCUCUUUGUGCGGGAAGAUAAUGACGGUACCGCAAGAAUAAGCCCGGCUAACUUCGUGCCAGCAGCCGCGGUAA
rnacentral:rRNA from 1 species